GGCAGCGUAGCUCAGUUGGUUAGAGCGAAGGUCUCAUAAUCCUUAGGUCGGGAGUUCGAGUCUCCCCGCCGCCA
rnacentral:tRNA from 1 species